AACAGGAUUAGAUACCCUGGUAGUCCACGCCGUAAACGAUGUCGACUUGGAGGUUGUUCCCUUGAGGAGUGGCUUCCGGAGCUAACGCGUUAAGUCGACCGCCUGGGGAGUACGGCCGCAAGGUCAAAACUCAAAUGAAUUGACGGGGGCCCGCACAAGCGGUGGAGCAUGUGGUUUAAUUCGAUGCAACGCGAAGAACCUUACCUACUCUUGACAUCCAGCGAACGGAGCAGAGAUGCCCCGGUGCCUUCGGGAACGCUGAGACAGGUGCUGCAUGGCUGUCGUCAGCUCGUGUUGUGUAAUGUUGGGUUAAGUCCCGCAACGAGCGCAACCCUUAUCCUUUGUUGCCAGCGAUUCGGUCGGGAACUCUAAGGAGACUGCCGGUGACAAACCGGAGGAAGGUGGGGAUGACGUCAAGUCAUCAUGGCCCUUACGGCCAGGGCUACACACGUGCUACAAUGGUCGGUACAAAGGGUUGCCAAGCCGCGAGGUGGAGCUAAUCCCAUAAAACCGAUCGUAGUCCGGAUCGCAGUCUGCAACUCGACUGCGUGAAGUCGGAAUCGCUAGUAAUCGUGAAUCAGAACGUCACGGUGAAUACGUUCCCGGGCCUUGUACGCACCGCCCGUCACACCAUGGGAGUGGGUUGCUCCAGAAGUAGCUAGUCUAACCUUCGGGGGGACGGUUACCACGGAGUGAUUCAUGACUGGGGUGAAGUCGUAACAAGGUA
rnacentral:rRNA from 1 species